CAGCAGCGGUAACACGUAGGUGGCAAGCGUUGUCCGGAAUUAUUGGGCGUAAAGGGCUCGCAGGCGGUUUCUUAAGUCUGAUGUGAAAGCCCCCGGCUCAACCGGAGAGGGUCAUUGGAAACUGGGAAACUUGAGUGCAGAAGAGGAGAGUGGAAUUCCACGUGUAGCGGUGAAAUGCGUAGAGAUGUGGAGGAACACCAGUGGCGAAGGCGACUCUCUGGUCUGUAACUGACGCUGAGGAGCGAAAGCGUGGGGAGCGAACAGGAUUAGAUACCCGCGUAGUCCCUGUCUCUUAUACACA
rnacentral:rRNA from 1 species